CGAACAAGAGUGUUUAAAAUAAGAAAUAAUUACAUUAGCAUGAAAAAUAUUACAAAAAGAAGUUAUUGUAAAAUUCUGCUAAUCUAAUACAAAUGCCAGUGUUGACUCCGUACAAAUUGGGACUAAGCAUUAGGGAAAUUUAAAAAUAAAUCAUACAACUUGUACCCCUUUGUGUGAACUGAUGUACGACUUGUCGUAGAGACAUUGCACUUGAAACCAGAUGGUUAGAAACCAGACUAAAUUUUGUAAGAAUGUUUUGCUUUAGUAUUCCGAAGCCGUUUUUGCGUGUCUAAUGGGAUGCAUCAACAGUACAAAAAAAUUAAGCGAUUUAAAAAGCGAAAACGUUUUUCGUGCAGUGCGACUUCACUCCGAGUUGGCAGAUCAAGGACGCACUGGAUAUCUGGAGUUAACACCGAGGGAACUAGUUUUUCGUACGGGCUCUAACCAACGUGUUGUAUGGGCAUUGCAACAUCUACGCAGAUAUGGGCUUAAUGGCGAUGUAUUCUCCUUUGAAGCUGGGCGUCGUUGUAUGACAGGCCCUGGCAUUUAUACAUUUCGUUGUCAACGCGCGGAACAAUUAUAUCAUCUAUUUCAAACUUAUAUAAAUGCUGUCUCCCUUGUGACGGAUGAUGCAUUCAACUUUAGUGAACGUGAGCGUGAUCAUCCUUCACAUACAGUGGGACGACCAGAAAAUGUACAAAAUGUAAACAACUAUUUGGAACCUGCACCGUUAGUAGGUGCAGGCGCAGCAGUAUCAGUUUUGCAACGUUCCCGAGUACUUCGAGAUUCCUUCAGCAGUAGUCCACUAAGUUUGGACUCGCCAGAUUCAGUUCCAAGUAUAUCAUUUGCAACAAAUGAAGUUGUUCAUAUACAGAGUCCGCGUUUGCCUAAUGGUCUCGGCACGUAUGUGAAUACCCCUAAUACAGGUAUGCCCGUUGCCAAUAGCAAUGUAUACUCUGAAUAUCCUUUGCGGUCACACGUAGAACACAAUAAUAACUUAUCAAACGCGUCCAAUGGUGUAUUUAAUACUCUGGCUAGAAAAAAUUUGGUGAAGCAUUCUUCUCUAGAUAUUCCACCAGAAGAAUUUGCACCUAUGCUUACACCACCAUCGGAUGCAUUACACAUGUAUGCUAAUGUUGAAAGCUGCUCACUUGCCGCCAGCAAUUUUGGUUUUAGUGGCAUGGUGGGCAUGCGUAAUGUGUUACGCGAUCAAGAGCGAUGUUAUGAAAAUCUAAAUACUGACGAGUUGAAGUUGAUCCUUCCAAAGCAAAAAAUGUCGUCUUCAACGCCAGGAAGAAGCCAUAGUGGAGUAGAUGUGCCCUGUGAUCCACAGUCAAAGCAAACGAAAUCAGCCGGAACAAAUGCAGUCAAUUAUAUUGUUCUGGACUUGGACCAACCACGAAGUCCGACACCAUGUUCACCCAAACUUCAAGUAGGAAGUGGCCUCUCUUUAACUGCCGUUGAUGGCGCUGAUGGAAGUAUGCGAUCAGGUUCCAAAACAGAAUCACUUACUGAUUCAACACAUACUAGUGUAACUGCAACGACUCAGCCAAUGACUAUUACCACAGCAACGAUAACAAACGUGACAAAUACAACGAAACCAAAUAGCGGUAGUGUUGAACAAUUGGAAAAGAAAGAAGAAUCUUCACUUGGUUACUCGACUAUAGAUUUUAUAAAGACUUGUGCACUUAUUAAAUCGUCGACACACGGUGCAGACUUUGAUGCAGAACCAGGCAAUGAAGAAUGCAGAAUCACCAGACAUAGUAAAUGUGUGCGGAAAGCCUACUCUAUUAGUGAAUAGGAGAAAUUGUACUUGCGCAGCGCUUUCAUAUUUGGAGAACACGUUUCCUGAUUUAAAAAAGUACAGUGUACCAGCAUUUAGUACAACAACAUAGUUAUAAGAGGCCUGAUGUUGAUUUGGACUUCGUUUUGAGAUUUUUAAUAGAAAUAUGUAUGCCGGCAUCGUGUGCCAUAUUUACCACAUACAGAGCAGCACAAAAUGUAUACCGGACGGACAUUUAUUAAUGUAUAUACAUAAAUAUAUGAAACGUUUAGACGGGUAAUUGCUUUAUUAAAGUUUUCAAAAUUAAAUUAAUAUUAUCGUAUUGAUGCAAUUGUGCAAUUGAUUUUUUUAUAUUAUAUGCAUAUGUAUUUAUGGUAUAGUGUUACAAUGCUAUAUUUUGUACUUAAGCCAAAUUUUGUUAUAUUUUUCUUAUAAUUCAUAGACUUUUGAAAAAUUUGUACUUAAAUUAAUUUUUUUUUUAUUAUUGUUUACAUUUAUUAUACAUAAAUAGUGCAGCUACAUGUAUUUAAAAGCUGUGUUUUGUUAGCUGUAGUAGCAAAAAUGCCAAAGUACUCAUAUACUCGUACAUUAAAAUUUAUCAUAAAUUUGUUAUGGUUGUAUUUGUAUUGCCGAGAGAAAUACAUUAGCACCAACAAUGUAUGUAUAUGUAUAUCAUUAAAUGUAUUUAAGAAUAAAUUGAAUAAUAAGUUGUAAUUUAAAAAUAACAAAA